ACGGGUGAGUAAUGCCUAGGAAUCUGCCUGGUAGUGGGGGAUAACGUUCGGAAACGGACGCUAAUACCGCAUACGUCCUACGGGAGAAAGCAGGGGACCUUCGGGCCUUGCGCUAUCAGAUGAGCCUAGGUCGGAUUAGCUAGUUGGUGAGGUAACGGCUCACCAAGGCGAUGAUCCGUAACUGGUCUGAGAGGAUGAUCAGUCACACUGGAACUGAGACACGGUCCAGACUCCUACGGGAGGCAGCAGUGGGGAAUAUUGGACAAUGGGCGAAAGCCUGAUCCAGCCAUGCCGCGUGUGUGAAGAAGGUCUCCGGAUUGUAAAGCACUUUAAGUUGGGAGGAAGGGCAGUUACCUAAUACGUGAUUGUUUUGACGUUACCGACAGAAUAAGCACCGGCUAACUCUGUGCCAGCAGCCGCGGUAAUACAGAGGGUGCAAGCGUUAAUCGGAAUUACUGGGCGUAAAGCGCGCGUAGGUGGUUUGUUAAGUUGGAUGUGAAAUCCCCGGGCUCAACCCGGGAACUGCAUUCAAAACUGACUGACUAGAGUAUGGUAGAGGGUGGUGGAAUUUCCUGU
rnacentral:rRNA from 1 species